rnacentral:rRNA from 1 species
AUUGAACGCUGGCGGCAGGCCUAACACAUGCAAGUCGAACGAAGUCUUCGGACUUAGUGGCGGACGGGUGAGUAACACGUGGGAACGUACCUUUUGGUUCGGAACAACUCAGGGAAACUUGAGCUAAUACCGGAUGAGCCCUUCGGGGGAAAAAUUUAUCGCCAUUAGAGCGGCCCGCGUUAGAUUAGCUAGUUGGUGAGGUAAAGGCUCACCAAGGCUACGAUCUAUAGCUGGUCUGAGAGGAUGAUCAGCCCCACUGGGACUGGGACACGGCCCAGGCUCCUACGGGAGGCAGCAGUGGGGAAUCUUGCGCAAUGGGCGAAAGCCUGACGCAGCCAUGCCGCGUGAAUGAUGAAGGUCUUAGGAUUGUAAAAUUCUUUUACCAGGGACGAUAAUGACGGUACCUGGAGAAAAAGCCCCGGCUAACUUCGUGCCAGCAGCCGCCGUAACAC